rnacentral:rRNA from 1 species
GAAAAAUUAGCGGAUGACUUGUGGCUGGGGGUGAAAGGCCAAUCAAACCGGGAGAUAGCUGGUUCUCCCCGAAAGCUAUUUAGGUAGCGCCUCGUGAAUUCAUCUCCGGGGGUAGAGCACUGUUUCGGCAAGGGGGUCAUCCCGACUUACCAACCCGAUGCAAACUGCGAAUACCGGAGAAUGUUAUCACGGGAGACACACGGCGGGUGCUAACGUCCGUCGUGAAGAGGGAAACAACCCAGACCGCCAGCUAAGGUCCCAAAGUCAUGGUUAAGUGGGAAACGAUGUGGGAAGGCCCAGACAGCCAGGAUGUUGGCUUAGAAGCAGCCAUCAUUUAAAGAAAGCGUAAUAGCUCACUGGUCGAGUCGGCCUGCGCGGAAGAUGUAACGGGGCUAAACCAUGCACCGAAGCUGCGGCAGCGACGCUGAUGCGUUGUUGGGUAGGGGAGCGUUCUGUAAGCCUGCGAAGGUGUGCUGUGAGGCAUGCUGGAGGUAUCAGAAGUGCGAAUGCUGACAUAAGUAACGAUAAAGCGGGUGAAAAGCCCGCUCGCCGGAAGACCAAGGGUUCCUGUCCAACGUUAAUCGGGGCAGGGUGAGUCGACCCCUAAGGCGAGGCCGAAAGGCGUAGUCGAUGGGAAACAGGUUAAUAUUCCUGUACUUGGUGUUACUGCGAAGGGGGGACGGAGAAGGCUAUGUUGGCCGGGCGACGGUUGUCCCGGUUUAAGCGUGUAGGCUGGUUUUCCAGGCAAAUCCGGAAAAUCAAGGCUGAGGCGUGAUGACGAGGCACUACGGUGCUGAAGCAACAAAUGCCCUGCUUCCAGGAAAAGCCUCUAAGCAUCAGGUAACAUCAAAUCGUACCCCAAACCGACACAGGUGGUCAGGUAGAGAAUACCAAGGCGCUUGAGAGAACUCGGGUGAAGGAACUAGGCAAAAUGGUGCCGUAACUUCGGGAGAAGGCACGCUGAUAUGUAGGUGAAGCGACUUGCUCGUGGAGCUGAAAUCAGUCGAAGAUACCAGCUGGCUGCAACUGUUUAUUAAAAACACAGCACUGUGCAAACACGAAAGUGGACGUAUACGGUGUGACGCCUGCCCGGUGCCGGAAGGUUAAUUGAUGGGGUCAGCGCAAGCGAAGCUCUUGAUCGAAGCCCCGGUAAACGGCGGCCGUAACUAUAACGGUCCUAAGGUAGCGAAAUUCCUUGUCGGGUAAGUUCCGACCUGCACGAAUGGCGUAAUGAUGGCCAGGCUGUCUCCACCCGAGACUCAGUGAAAUUGAACUCGCUGUGAAGAUGCAGUGUACCCGCGGCAAGACGGAAAGACCCCGUGAACCUUUACUAUAGCUUGACACUGAACAUUGAGCCUUGAUGUGUAGGAUAGGUGGGAGGCUUUGAAGUGUGGACGCCAGUCUGCAUGGAGCCG